rnacentral:rRNA from 1 species
UACGUAGGGGGCAAGCGUUGUCCGGAAUUAUUGGGCGUAAAGAGCGCGUAGGCGGUCUGAUAAGUCGGUUGUGAAAGUCGGGGGCUCAACCCUCGGAUGCCGAUCGAUACUGUCAGGCUAGAGUCCGGAAGAGGCGAGUGGAAUUCCUGGUGUAGCGGUGAAAUGCGCAGAUAUCAGGAGGAACACCAAUGGCGAAGGCAGCUCGCUGGGACGGUACUGACGCUGAGGCGCGAAGGCGUGGGGAGCGAACGGG